rnacentral:rRNA from 1 species
GACGAACGCUGGCGGCGUGCUUAACACAUGCAAGUCGAACGGAAAGGCCUCUUUCGGGGGGUACUCGAGUGGCGAACGGGUGAGUAACACGUGAGUAACCUGCCCUUGACUUUGGGAUAACUUCAGGAAACUGGGGCUAAUACCGGAUAGGAGCUCCUGCUGCAUGGUGGGGGUUGGAAAGUUUCGGCGGUUGGGGAUGGACUCGCGGCUUAUCAGCUUGUUGGUGGGGUAGUGGCUUACCAAGGCUUUGACGGGUAGCCGGCCUGAGAGGGUGACCGGCGACAUUGGGACUGAGAUACGGCCCAGACUCCUACGGGAGGCAGCAGUGGGGAAUAUUGCACAAUGGGUGGAAGCCUGAUGCAGCAACGCCGUGUGCGGGAUGACGGUCUUCUGGUUGUAAACCGCUUUCGCUCAUGACGAAGCUUUGUGUGACGGUAGUGGGUAAAGAAGCACCGGCUAACUACGUG